AUUUGUAAUUGUUUUUGUAUUUUUCAUCAACAUUAAUAAUCUUUUUAAUUAAUUGAUUCUCUUUUUAUCAUAAUAAUGUUAAUUAUCAUUGUAAUUUAGUGUUAAACAUGAUAAUAUUUUAACAGUAGUAAUAGUAAUUAAAUGUUAGAAAAAUGAUGUCUUUUAAUGACUGAAAUAUUAUUCAUCGCUAAAAUUAGUUUUACUGAUAGAAUGUUAUUUGUCGCUAAAAGUAUUUUUAGUGAUGAAAUAUUAUUUGUUAUUCCGCUGGUAAAAUUUAUAUUCACGACACAUAAAUUAAUGAAUAGUUUAUUCUUUUAGUGAUGAUUGUAUUCAUCGCUAAGAAAGAGACCUUUAGUGGCGUGUUUUCUUACUUUUAGCAACAAAAUAUUCUUUUUGUUAUGAAUCUAGUGUCAAAUUUUUGGUUGCCUUUAUCAUUUUUUGCGACGAAAGUAAUUUAUUCGCUGGAUGUUUUAGUGACGAAAUUUGAAAAUUCAUUGCCAAAAACUUAAUGCGAUGCACAUAUUAUGAUGAAAUCCUUAUGAAAAUUGCAUGUUUUACUAAUGAUUAUUUUCAUCAUUAAAGCCCUUUUUUAUUGCAGUGAUUAUAAUGGUGUUAACUCCAUUAAUCAUUGUAAUAUUAUACCUUUAUUUUAGCAAUUCUUACCUUAAUAAUUUUGUUAGGAAUCCUAAUUCUCUCAAAAUUAAGGAAUCAUGAUUCCAUUAUAACCAUAGCUAAUACCAAUAUGAGUAAUGAUAUAGUCACAAACUCUUGUACAAACUUAUUUUGUACAAACUGAUAUGGCAUGAUAAGAUUGGUUGAAUUAAAUAUCACUUGGCCCACAUGAUUUAUUUUUAUUAUUUUAUAUUUUUAUUCAGCCAAUGCAUUAAUGACAUAUCAGUUUGUACAAAAUAAGUUUGUACAAGAGUUUGUGGCUGUAUCAUCACUCUACCAAUAUUAUGUAAAUAUUGACAUUCCCUCACUGUAUGGCAAAUGUUAUGGAUAAUGAUUAGACCUCCCAUGGUACCAAACCGAUGGUGGUCUCAGUCGAUGAAAAAUAUGGCUUAGUGGCAGCAAUGGCGGUGGUUUAUGUGUUGUCUAGGGUUUGGCUUAUUUGUUUUGUUGUUUGCGAUUGGACUUGUAUCCGUCAUUUUGGAUUUCAUGUGCUCAGUGUUUGGUUGAUAGGAAAAUAAUUUAAACGUGAGAAAGAAUUUUAGAAUUUCAUUAUAGUAUUAUGAACAAAAUCUUAUAAUAAAAGAAUAAGACCAUGAGGGUAAACAUCAUAACUUAACUAUAUAUUUUUA
rnacentral:lncRNA from 1 species